rnacentral:rRNA from 1 species
UCCUUGAUUGCUGGUGUGAGUAUAACUUGGUUUAAAUUUCAGGCCUAAAGGGUGCUAGAUACAUGCCGCUCAUACUUCAGACAAGAGAGAUUAGGGUAGUUCGGGAAUGUUGCCUUAAGUGGGAGAUUGACUUCUUCAAAGGCUAAAUAACAAAAAGAGACCAAUAGAAAACGACGAAGCCCUUAGAAAAGUAAUUAAAAAGACUCGAAGUCGCUAAGUAGGAAGCAGUCGAACGUUGGAUAACUGAGUG